rnacentral:lncRNA from 1 species
CUCUCUCUCUCUCUCUCUCCCCCCACCUCUUAUUUUUUCUUGGUCGUGCGAAAAAUGCGUGAGACCGAGUUCAGUGUCUUGAGCUACUUUCAUGGCAUCUUGCAAGAUCAGUUCGACCGUAAGGAUUCAGCUUGGACCUCGUUUUGCAAGAGCUGUUCUAAUCCCUGAGUUUUGGGGAUCGGUCAAGGUUUGGAAUUCUGGACGCACCUCAA